rnacentral:rRNA from 1 species
CAGUAGCCGCGGUAAUACAGAGGGUGCAAGCGUUAAUCGGAAUUACUGAGCGUAAAGCGCGCGUAGGUGGUUCGCCAAGUUGGAUGUGAAAUCCCCGGGCUCAACCUGGGAACUGCAUCCAAAACUGGCGAGCUAGAGUAUGGUAGAGGGUGGUGGAAUUUCCUGUGUAGCGGUGAAAUGCGUAGAUAUAGGAAGGAACAUCAGUGGCGAAGGCGACCACCUGGACUGAUACUGACACUGAGGUGCGAAAGCGUGGGGAGCAAACAGGAUUAGAUACCCCCGUAGUCCCUGUCUCUUAUAC